CUCAGGCUGAAGACCUAACACAGACGAGGGGCAGACGAAAUAAUGAGAGAGAAGUAAAGACAAGAAACGUGAUGACAAAAAGCACUCGUGAAUCAAUUGUAGAUGGUUCAGCACCGUCAGCUUACAGCCACUGCCGGGAUUCCUCAGUGGAAACACUUUCAGAGACAUUUGCAGUGCUAGAGUAUUUGGACUGGUUUCAUUUAGCUGGAUGUGUGUUGGAGUUAAAACUGCUGAUUAAUGAAGAAAAUCAGAUUUUGAUCCACAUGCAGUAACAUCUGGAAGAUUCUGAUUGGCAGCCUCAUUUUUCAGCCUGACAAUGAUCCCAAACACACUGCCAGUGCAGUGAAAGCAUGCCAACACACAGUGGAGCAUCCCUGAAGCAGUGUGGGGACAUCCUGAGGCAGAAACAUCCAAAGAAGAGCUCUGAACGUCCUUCAAGAAGCCUGGAGAAGAGAUCCUCAGAGAGCUGAAGGAUGAAGGUGCUCACACCAAACAUUCAUUGUCAAGCUCGUUGGCUGAAGGCUUCAGUGCAGUUCUGUCUAAUGAUGUGCUACCUGGUUGCUAGCUGCAGGCAGAGCUAUGUAAGGCUCAUAUCAACACAUUACAGAUGGUGAGACUGUUAGCUGUUUGCAAUAAUCUGGUUCAUUUAUAUGAAUUAAUUCGGUGAACAUCCAAAUCCACAAUCUGAAAACACCUGAGCGAGGAUCAACAAUAAAAACGAUCCCGGAGGCUAAACUGUUAACUGUAUGUGUGUGUGUGUGUGUGUGUGUGUUGACAUCCCAGGGUACAACAGGAGCAGCUGGCAGCCAUCUUCCAGCUGCUGAAGGCGAACCAGGAGGUGACGGAGGCCGACAUAGAGGAGCAGCUGAAGCUUUACUCCCUCUGAAACACGAGAGACGCCAUCGAUCUGUCCACUCAGGAAGUCUAUCUCCAUGACCGCCAUCAUCAACAUCGUGUCCAAAUCACCACAGCUGGAUGUCACAUGCUUGUUUAUUAAAAAGUUGGAUUUCUUGUCCUGUUCUGAUGUUCGACGCUCAGAGUGACUCCAGACUGCAGCUCGCCAUCUGUCAGACUCUUAAUAGUGACAUCACUUCCUGCCAAAGUAAUGCUAGGCUAAAUUUUAGUAGCAGUUUGAAGAAGGCACUAAAUGAAGCUGGCAGGCUUCAGAUUCAUAUUCAUGUUGGCUCUCGUCUGAGAGCUUCUGACGUCACCAAAGACCAAAAAAAGAAACAGUGUGUGGGAUGAUUUCAGCCUCAAAGCUCACUGAACUCUUUUAUACAUUAAUCUCUGUUAGUCAAAAAAAAAAACAUUUCAGUGCUCAUUAACAAACAUUUUUCAAAUAUUUGCUGUAAAUAUUGUUAUUUUAAAAUAUAUUAAUGUAACUUUUUUGCAUGAAUUUUGUCAUGAAAACAACUUUUUUCCCCUCCACCGUUCAUUUUUUAUUUAUUUUAUAGUUCAUUUAAAGCAUUUAUAGUAUUUUUAAUUAGUUUUCACAAUAAUAAUAAAAAUGUCCCCAAGUGUCCCCCGAGCUGUGAUUGGCCUCCUACACAGUUCUGGCUGCUUCUUCUUCUGUCACUGUUUUUCUGCACUGACCCCGGAGUAUCUGCAGUCACAAUAAAGCUGUUUGAAUUCUCGCAUUUGAGUGAAAUGUUAUAUUUCCCUGCAGGAAACGACAGAACACGCUGGGAUGAUCGUAAGACCGGCUUCUGUAGUCCAUCCUGUAGACAUUGUAGUUUCAGCAGUGCAGACAUGAUUAAGGAGUCCAGCGUAAAAGCAGUCUGCUUCUCCUUUCCUAAGUCCUUUUAAGUCUCUCCGUCACACCUUUCCUUCACUCCAUGGCCUUUUCCCACUGUGUGGAAACUGAUCUGGAAAAGGAGACAUGAGUUCAUGUCGGGGCAGCUGGAUCGACUCACAGAGAGAAACAUCAGUGCCACCUAGUGGUUGAUGGUGAAACUGCAGAACAACAGGCUCAGCAGCAGAGGCUUGUUUGUUUGGAGCUGCAGGCUGUGUUUCCUCCUGUGAGCAGCAGAGGGCAGCAUUUCACUAAACCACACAGCUUCAAGGCUUCACCUCUGAGACUGAGCAGAAACACGCUCUGCUUCCUGUUCGAGCUCUCUGUUUUUUCGUCUCACCCUCCCUUACUUCAUUUUUCAGGAGAGCCGACAAGGAAAAUGUCGGUCGAGUGAACCACGGGGUCGUCGAACUGAAACAGGCUCUCCUGCACACAGUCCUCAUUUAUACAGUUCUCUGCAAACCCGAACAUCACGGCUAACAGGAGGAUUUUCCUGUUCCAGCACAGCCAAACAUCGAAGAACCACUUACUGCUAAAGAGACUGACAGGGGAAGUGCGCACUACAUCCUUGGUUUCUUAACAUAGAGCUU
rnacentral:lncRNA from 1 species